rnacentral:ncRNA from 1 species
UUACCAUCUUGGCACGUCAGUUGAAAAGCUGCACACGCAAAGCUAUGGGCCUUAAGGGGUAAUAACCCUCAUGGUCGCCAGGCUGCAUCA